AGACAACUGUUCCUCUAACAAGAUCUUUAUAUCGUGUUAGAUUUCAGAAUGUCUUAGAAUAAAUAUGGAUUGCUUCACCCAGAAUUGUGCAUUAUUAUAACACUGUCUGGCUUUUGCGGGUUCAUACAAAA